rnacentral:hammerhead_ribozyme from 1 species
GCAUUGCUGAAGAAUCCCACAAUAGGACAAAACGACUGUCCAGUAC